UACGUAGGUGGCAAGCGUUGUCCGGAUUUAUUGGGCGUAAAGCGAGCGCAGGCGGUUUCUUAAGUCUGAUGUGAAAGCCUUCGGCUUAACCGGAGAAGUGCAUCGGAAACUGGGAGACUUGAGUGCAGAAGAGGACAGUGGAACUCCAUGUGUAGCGGUGGAAUGCGUAGAUAUAUGGAAGAACACCAGUGGCGAAGGCGGCUGUCUAGUCUGUAACUGACGCUGAGGCUCGAAAGCAUGGGUAGCAAACAGG
rnacentral:rRNA from 1 species